rnacentral:rRNA from 1 species
AGAGUUUGAUCAUGGCUCAGGAUGAACGCUGGCGGUGUGCUUUAGGCAUGCAAGUCGAGCGGAACCAGCAAUGGUUCAGCGGCAGACGGGUGAGUAACACGUAGGAAUCUACCUCAAAGUGGGGAAUAGCUGCCCGAAAGGGCAGGUAAUACCGCAUGUGAUCGCAAGAUCAAAGCAGCAAUGCGCUUUGAGAGGAGCCUGCGAGCUAUCAGCUUGUUGGUGGGGUAACGGCCUACCAAGGCUACGACGGCUAGCCGAUGUGAGAGCAUGAUCGGCCACAAGGCUACUGAGACACGGAGCCUACACCUACGGGUGGCAGCAACCGGGAAUUUUGCGCAAUGGACGAAAGUCUGACGCAGCGACACCGCGUGUGGGAAGACGCUUUUCGGAGUGUAAACCACUGUGGCGAGGGAACAAAUUUUGAGGGUACCUCGCUAGAAAGCACUAGCUAACCACGUGCCAGAAGCUUCGGUAAUACGUGGAGUGCAAGCGUUAUCCGGAUUUACUGGGCGUAAAGCGUACCGUCGGUGAUCUGAUAAGUUUCUUGUUUAAGCCCGAGGCUCAACUUCGGAAAAGCAAGAAAAACUAUCAGAAUUGAGUCUGUUCGGGGAAGCUGGAAUUCUCGGUGGAGGGGUGAAAUCCGUAGAUAUCGAGAGGAACGCCAUACGCGAAGGCAAGCUUCUAGGACACGACUGACACUCAGGGACGAAAGCUUGGGUAGCAAAGCGGAUUAGAGACCCGUGUAGUCCAAGCCGUAAACACUCCUUGCUAGCUGUUCCCGCUCUGCGGGGAUGGCGUAAGCUAACGCGUUAAGCAAGGCGCCUGGGGAGUACGACCGCAAGGGUUAAAACUCAAGGAAUUGACGG